rnacentral:misc_RNA from 1 species
UGAAGCUAAAGGGAGGAUUAAGAAAGGUGAUAGGACAUGGCAAAUUGCAUUUGGUUCAGGAUUUAAGUGUAAUAGUGCUGUGUGGUGUGCAUUAAGGACUAUUAAUCCUGCUAAGGAGAAGAAUCCUUGGAUGGAUGAGAUUGAUGAAUUUCCAGUUGAAGUGCCUAGGGUUGUGACAAUUAAUGAUUCUUGAAGAAUGUUUUGUUUAACCUAAAAAAAGGGGAAGCAAAAGGAACUAGUUUAUGUGUUGUGAUCAUUGUAAUAUUACCUCACUUUGUUGUUGUUGUUUGGUGUUAUAACUAG